UACGAAGGGUGCAAGCGUUACUCGGAAUUACUGGGCGUAAAGCGUGCGUAGGUGGUUCGUUAAGUCUGAUGUGAAAGCCCUGGGCUCAACCUGGGAAUGGCAUUGGAAACUGGCGACCUAGAGUGCGGUAGAGGGUAGUGGAAUUCCCGGUGUAGCAGUGAAAUGCGUAGAGAUGCGGAAGAACACCAGUGGCGAAGGCGGUCAACUGGCCUCAUAUUGACACUCAGACGCGAAGGCAUGGGUAGCGAACGGG
rnacentral:rRNA from 1 species